CGAUAACCAAAUUUUGGACAUUUUAAUCGAGAAGAUAUAAAUCAUGUAAAUAUUAACUUUCGAAGGACUAAAUUGCAAAGACAUGGAGGGUGAGACGAGGACGAUAGUGAAAAUUUUCACAUUGGGGAAGGACUAAACUGCAAAUAUGAAUGUUAGUUCAACUUUUGACAUUUUAGUGGAGGAUAUAUAAAUCAUGCAAAUAUUUUUCAAGGUCUAAAUUGCAAAGAGAUUGAGAGAGACGAGAGCUUUGAUUCCUUCCAAAACUGUACAAUUUUGUUCAAUCCAUGGCGACAAAUUUGGGCGAGGCAAAAGGAAGCUUCAUCAAAAGGGACGUUGCAAGACGACGAUGGACUUCCGAUCAAACUGGCUUGGCAGAACGACGCUAUCUCUGAAUCCUCUGCGCAUCGGAUUCCGUCCACCGAAGGUAUUUCCAAUCUGUAAACUCCGUAUUUGUUUGUUGUUCUGUUCACUGAGAAUGCUAUCUGCUCCGCCGUACGCGGCGUUUCUGCUUUGAAUUUGCAGCUGAUUCGAACUUCUACACCUGAUUUUUUUCAUACAUAAACACACACGCAGUGCACCGACGAGUAUCGAUUUUAUCAGUCUUGCUUUUGAAUGAAUUGCUGAAUCAAAUGCUCUUAUUGAAAUUAGGUUAGAAAAUUGUAUCAACGAAGUUGAAAAUCAAAUUCAAAAUCAGUAUGAAAAUGCUGAAGAAGAUUAAAGUCUAAACAAACGGACAACAUAACUACAAAAACCAUUGCUCUUGAAAAGGAAAAAGAAGUU